rnacentral:rRNA from 1 species
UACGAAGGGUGCAAGCGUUACUCGGAAUUACUGGGCGUGAAGCGUGCGUAGGUGGUUUGUUAAGUCUGAUGUGAAAGCCCUGGGCUCAACCUGGGAAUUGCAUUGGAUACUGGCAGGCUAGAGUGCGGCAGAGGAUGGCGGAAUUCCCGGUGUAGCAGUGAAAUGCGUAGAGAUCGGGAGGAACAUCUGUGGCGAAAGCGCUCUACUGGACCGCAACUGACACUCAGGGACGAAAGCUAGGGGAGCGAAUGGG